AACGCAUAUUGCGCUUCCUGGUAUUCCGGGGAGCAUGCUCGUUUCAGAAUCAUUUACCCAAACUCACACGCUGUUGGCUCAUCAAGAGUCAACAAACGUGUGGAUAUGAGCAUAGUGGUUUGCGCCGAUGACCUCGGCUCUCACGCAUCGUUUGCUUUAAAUCGAUCUCGCGCAAUGAAGCUCUCUCAGUGCAACAAUUUGUUUCCACAUUGCGAGUUGCUGAAUAUUGCGUGCGGUAUCCCUAAAUCCAUGUAUCACGGCGUCUGCGUGCCUGCAUGCAGCUCCGAUAAACUUGGUCUGAAAUCGAGCAAGAAAACCCGCUGAACUUAA
rnacentral:misc_RNA from 1 species